rnacentral:rRNA from 1 species
UACAGAGGGUGCGAGCGUUAAUCGGAAUUACUGGGCGUAAAGCGUGCGCAGGCGGUUAUGCAAGACAGAUGUGAAAUCCCCGGGCUCAACCUGGGAACUGCAUUUGUGACUGCAUGGCUAGAGUGCGGCAGAGGGGGAUGGAAUUCCGCGUGUAGCAGUGAAAUGCGUAGAUAUGCGGAGGAACACCGAUGGCGAAGGCAGCCCCCUGGGUUAACACUGACGCUCAUGCACGAAAGCGUGGGGAGCAAACAGG